UACAGAGGGUGCAAGCGUUGUUCGGAAUUAUUGGGCGUAAAGCGCGUGUAGGCGGCUUGGUAAGUCGGGUGUGAAAUCCCUCAGCUCAACUGAGGAAGUGCGCCCGAAACUGCUUUGCUUGAGUGCUGGAGAGGGUCGCGGAAUUCCCGAAGUGAGAGGUGAAAUUCGUAGAUAUCGGGAGGAACACCGGUGGCGAAGGCGGCGACCUGGACAGUAACUGACGCUGAGGCGCGAAAGCUAGGGGAGCAAACGGG
rnacentral:rRNA from 1 species